GGUUCUGAUAGCAGUGAGCCCCUCUGGUGGAGGUCCUAAUAGCAGUGUGCCCCUCUGGUGGAGGUCCUGAUAUCAGUGUGCCCCUCUGGGUUAGGUCCUGAUAGCAGUGAGCCCCUCUGGUUUAGGUCCUGAUGGCAGUGUGCCCCUCUGGUUUAGGUCCUGAUGGCAGUGUGCCCCUCUGGAGGAGGUCCUGAGUGCAGUGUGCCCCUCUGGUGGAGGUCCUGAUAGCAGUGAGCCCUUCUGGUGGAGGUCCUGAUAAAAGUGUGCCCCUCUGGUGGAGGUCCUGAGAGCAGUGUGCCCCUCUGGUGGAGAUAUGAGGGUCCUGAUAGCAGUGUGCCCCUCUGGUGGAGAUAUGAGGGUCCUGAUAGCAGUGUGUCCUCUGGUGGAGAUAUGAGGGUCCUGAUAGCAGUGUGCCCCUCUCGUGGAGAUAUGAGGGUCCUGAUAGCAGUGUGCCCCUCUGGUGGAGAUAUGAGGGUCCUGAUAGCAGUGUGCCCCUCUGGUGGAGAUAUGAGGGUCCUGAUAGGAGUGUGCCCCUCUCGUGGAGAUAUGAGGGUCCUGAUAGCAGUGUGCCCCUCUGGUGGAGAUAUGAGGGUCCUGAUAGGAGUGUGCCCCUCUCGUGGAGAUAUGAGGGUCCUGAUAGCAGUGUGCCCCUCUGGUGGAGAUAUGAGGGUCCUGAUAGCAGUGUGCCCCUCUGGUGCCCCGGGGUAUGAGGGUCCUGAUAGCAGUGUUCCCCUCUGGUGGAGGUCCUGAGAGCAGUGUGCCCCUCUGGUGCCCCGGGGUAUGAGGGUCUCUGUCACUCUCCGCUGUUGCUGAAUGUUGAGUCCCGGGAAGUGCUGGAUCCGAUGCUCCUUGUCAUCCCACGUGUUGCGAGACCGAGCCCCAAACUUGCUGCCGCCCCCAGCCCACUCCCCAGUCCCAGCCGGGGGGAGACCGAGCGAUCGCUGCGAGGAAUGGAGCUCCGAGCUCAGCCUGCG